UGGGGAAUAUUGGACAAUGGGCGAAAGCCUGAUCCAGCCAUGCCGCGUGUGUGAAGAAGGUCUUCGGAUUGUAAAGCACUUUAAGUUGGGAGGAAGGGCAGUUACCUAAUACGUGAUUGUCUUGACGUUACCGACAGAAUAAGCACCGGCUAACUCUGUGCCAGCAGCCGCGGUAAUACAGAGGGUGCAAGCGUUAAUCGGAAUUACUGGGCGUAAAGCGCGCGUAGGUGGUUUGUUAAGUUGGAUGUGAAAUCCCCGGGCUCAACCUGGGAACUGCAUUCAAAACUGACAGGCUAGAGUAUGGUAGAGGGUGGUGGAAUUUCCUGUGUAGCGGUGAAAUGCGUAGAUAUAGGAAGGAACACCAGUGGCGAAGGCGACCACCUGGACUGAUACUGACACUGAGGUGCGAAAGCGUGGGGANCAAACGGAUUUAGAUACCCUGGUAGUCCACGCCGUAAACGUGUCAACUAGCCGUUGGGAGCCUUGAGCUCUUAGUGGCGCAGCUAACGCAUUAAGUUGACCG
rnacentral:rRNA from 1 species